UUCAAAAAAAAAUCUCAGCUUGUCUGAGGUAGCGAAUAUAUACCAUUUGAUUUUUCAAAUGAACUACUCAGAUUCUUUAUCCGAUAUAGCCUUGAGUAGGUCGAAUUUUCAUUAGAACUUUAAGAUAUCCUUGACCUAGAGGUCAGUAUUUUGUAGAGCUUUAGGAUAACCUCAAUCUUGAGAUCAGUAUUUUAUAAAGCUAAAAGAACCUCAAUCUGU
rnacentral:lncRNA from 1 species